rnacentral:rRNA from 1 species
UUUUAAUUUAAAGUUAGAGUAUUGCUCCUGCAAUAAGACAAAAAAUUAAAAAGUGGUGUACAGGUGAGUAUUAAGAUAUUCUUAGCCGGCCUUAAAGUGGAGAUAAAUUCUUCAUAAUAAAUAAAGGGCAGGUAAUAACCCGCUUUAAGAGGAUAAUAAAUGUUUUCGGAAUAGGUAGUAGUCAAGGUGAUGGCUUAACUAGCCUUAAACUUUCGUAGUCGAAUCUGAGAGGUUGAUCGACCACAUUGGGUCUGAAAAAACCCCAAUGCAAUUUAGUACAGCAGUGAGGAAUCUUGGUCAAUGGCCUAAUGGCUGAACUGGCAACUUGGAGAAGUGGUAAGUCCUAAUAAACCACCAAAAAAUUAAUUAAGAUUAAUUUUAAUUAGUAGUCCAUUACCUUAAAAUAAUAAGAUUUUUUUUUUCAUCAUUUAGGUUUAUAGAAGGGAUUGAAUUAAGAAAGAAAUGAAACUUUGUUUAUAUAUAGAUAAUGACAGUAUAUAUAUAGUGUCUUGACUAAUUUACGUGCCAGCAGUCGCGGUAAUACGUGAGAGACUAGUGUUAUUCAUCUUAAUUGGGUGCUUUGUGAGGUAGGAUUUCACUUGUGUGCCGUAAACCAUCAAACACCGGGGACCUCCUAAAGCUUAUGCUAUUAAACCUUAUACGAAAGUGUAAGAGUGGCUGAACUAAUUAUUCAGGUAAAGAAAUAAGUCAUAAGAUGAUUGAAAAUGAAAUGGAAUAUCGCGGAUCUAAAUCAGUAAUACAAAAGGUUAAUAAUAUUACUGUAAAAGAGCAACGAGUAGACGGUGGUUACAUUAAGAAAUUAAUGUUAAGGUGUACUCUAAUGGAUUUCGAAAGAAAUUAUCAGGGCAGAGUCCUUUCUAAUUUAAUAAAUAAAAAUUUAAAAAGAUUCUACUCAAAUACCACCAAGGUAACUAAACAAGAUGAAAUGGGGAUAGAUCCUUGAUUUAUUACAGGAUUUACGGAUGGUGAAGGUUGCUUUAGAAUUUCUUUUACAAAGAGAGAUAAUCUGGUAGGUUGGAGAGUCCAACUCUUUUUUCAAAUUACUUUACAUCAAAAAGAUAAACUNUUAUUAGAAAAGAUUCUGGGGUGUAGGUAAAAUAUAUAAAUCUGGUAAAGAUAUGCUUCAAUAUAAGGUCCAAUCUCUGGCUGAAAUAGAAAUAAUCUUAAACCAUUUUAAUAAAUUCCCGCUUAUCAGUCAAAAAUGUGCAGAUUAUGAGCUUUUUAAGAAAGCGUAUAAUAUUGUUUUAAAUAAAGAACGAGGCUCCGCCUACUUAUUGAUGAAGGUUUACAUAAACUUAUUGCUUUAAGAGCUUCUGUAAAUUUAGGUCUAUCUGAGCAAUUGAAAACUGCUUUUCCUGUAAUUAUUCCAGUCGCUAGACCUUUAGUUCAAAGUCAAAAAGUUAAAGAUGCUAAUUGACUAGCAGGAUUUGUUUCAGAUGAGGGUUGUUUCAUAGUAGGACUGCGAAAAUCUAGCGGUUAUUCAGCUGGAUAUCAGGUUUACUUGACUUUUAUUAUUACUCAACAUAUUCGAGAUGAGCAGUUAAUGAAAAGUUUAACUGAGUAUUUAGGUUGUGGAAAUCUUAAUAAAAAGAGAAAAGUUUUUGAGUAUCAAGUAUCUAAAUUUGCAGAUUUGACUAAUAGAAUAAUUCCGUUUUUUAGUCUACAUUCUAUAUUAGGACAAAAAUCUAAAGAUUUUGAAGAUUUCAUCAAAGUCUCUCAAUUAAUGGAAAGACGAAUUCAUUUAACUAAAGAGGGGAUAGAUGAAAUUUGUAAAAUAAAAGAAAAAAUGAAUGCUGGGAGAGAAUGAAUUUAAACUAUUUAUUUAUUUAAAAGAUAAAUCUGUUAAAUCGUUAGUUUAAUGAGAACUACGAUAGCCGUGUUAAAGGGUACCUAGACAGUCAAUAUAACUUCUAGAAUGCUAAUACUUGACUAGAGUUUUAAGUAAGAGGGAAGUACUUAAGGAGUAAGAGAUGAAAUAUCUGUGAUACCAAAGGGACUCCGUAAAGGCGAAGGCAUUCCUUUAUCUAAAAACUAACGUUGAAGGACGAAGGCUUAGAUAACAAAUAGGAUUAGAGACCCUAGUAGUCUAAGCAGUAAACGAUGAAUGCUAUAGGUUAGAUUAAUAUUUGAUUUGGUCUAUAAAUGAAAAUGUAAGCAUUCCACCUCAAGAGUAAUGUGGCAACGCAGGAACUGAAAUCACUAGACCGUUUCUAACACCAGUAGUGAAGUAUGUGUGCGACAAGAAGCGGGUAUUAGUAAUACGGUGUGAUUCCGUUUGGUAUUUUCUCUACCUAACACUAUUUACACAUGCAAAUUAGCAAUGAUUUGUGUAAAGCUGUAAAGACAAUGUAGCCUCUCUUAAAUGGGAAUGUUAAUGUAGAUACUUUUUCUAUAUUACCUGGAGCUAGUGUAAGUAAGAUAUGGAAAGCGAAAGCGAAAUUAGCUACGACGCUUUAAUACUAGUGCACAAAGGAAGGUGAUAGGUUCGACAUACUAAUCUAUUAGAGAAACCAUAUUUCCGUUGAAGUAAAGCUAAUUUCCUAAGUCUUACAUAAAUUGUGCUAAUAUCUGAACUUGGUAACCCCUUUAUCUUCAGUAAUAUACUAUAUAUAUUAAAGAGGUAAUAUAUAAGACUUUCUUAGUUGAAAUUGUUAUAUCCGAUAAAGGGGAGAGGAUUUGUUAAAAAGCAAAUGCUUUAUUUGGAUUUCAAUUGAAGUAAAUCUAAAUAAUAGAUAAAGAUAUAUAUUAUAAUUUUUUUUGUAAAAGAAUAAAUUUCUUAUUAUUUACAAGUAUUUAGUUAUUUAAAUAUUUAUAUAUAAGCAAAAAUGAGCUGGAAUACUUUGUACUUCGUACUUCGUACUUUGUACUUCGUACUUCGUACUUCGUAGAAAAAUAUAAAAUGAUUUAGUACUUUAGUACCCUUNGCCCUGCACUUUGCCCUGCAUUGAUAGCAUGGCUGCGUGCGAAGCGCGGCUGCGAAGCGGGCACAAAAUAAUAUAAAUAAUCGUCUAUUUUUAUAUAUAAUCGGUUUAGUAGUAUUUUUUUUUUAUAAAAAAAAAAUAGCAGAAGGAAGUUUCGGUGUAACUCUCGUUAGAAAAGAAUCUAGUAUAAUAGGUUAUUCAAUUCUAAUUUAUUUCGAAAUAGCUUUAAAUCAAAAAGAUAAAGAACUACUAGAAACUAUGAAGCAAGUAUUAGGGAUUGACAAAAGUUUAUAUUAUAAUAAAAAGGAUAACACAUUAAAAUUAAGAGUAUCUAAUUUAGAUGUAUUAAUUAAUAAUGUGAUACCCCACUUUAAUAAAUUUACACAAAAGAGAGUAGACUUUUUAUUAAUGUGUAAAAUAAUAGAACUAGUGCAAGAAAACCCAUUUAACUACAGAAGGGUUAAAUUAAAUACUAAGUAUAAAAACAAUGAUGAAUCUAGGAUUAUCUAACAAAUUGAAGAAUGAAUUUUUAACAGUAAAAUCGUUAACUAGAUUGUCAGUUGAGACUGGUAUUCCUAAUAAGAACUGAUUAGUGGGAUUUAUGGAAGGAGAAUCGUGUUUUUUUUUGUAAGGGUAUAUAAUUCACCUAGAUCUAAAUUAAAUCAUGCUGUUCAAUUGGCAUUUAUAAUUACGCAGCACUCUAGAGAUAAAGUACUAGCUUGCUGUAAUUAUUAUCCGAAGGAUGCUAGCGCAGAAAAAUAUAUCUAGAUUAUUAGAAUGUGGUAGAGUAGAAACAAGAAAAUCGGGAGAUGCUUGUGAUUUUGUAGUAACAUCAUUUAAUGAUUUCAAUAAAUAUAUGAUACCAUAUUGAAAAAACUACCCUUUAAUAGGUCAUAAAUCAAACGAUUGUUUAGAUUUUAUAAGAGUAUAUGAAAUAAUGCUAAUUAAGGGUCAUUUAACUGAAGAGGGGUAGACUAAGAUAGUAGAUAUAAAAAACUCUAUGAAGACUAAAAGGGAGUAGAAUUUAAUCUUAAUAUUAAAAGCGUAAGAUUAUUCUAUGAAUAGUUUAAUAUAAAUUACAUGAUUUUUACUAAUUACGAUUAUUAUAUAAAAUAAAAUAUGUAUUGAAUUCUAGUAUGUACUAGGUCUCUUAAAAAGAGGGAAACUUAUGUUAAACUAAAUAAUAUAAUAUAUAUUUAUUAAGAUUUAAAAAUCUUAAUAUAGCUGACUUGACAAGGGUGAAAUUUGACAUAAUUAAGGUAGUAUGUUAGAUUAUAUCUGAAAUUAUGUUUGGGGCGAUGGCUCCUGUAGAAAAUUUUUGCUUGAGCCGUAUGCGAUGAAAGUUGCACGUACGGUUCUUUAAGGGGGAAAGUUCGAGAGGACCUACCUAUCUUGACUGUUUAAUUCGAUGACCCACGAAAAACCUUACCACAAUUUGUAUAAUAUUAUUAUAUUACAGGAGUUGCACGGCUGUUUUCAGUUAAUGUUGUGAAGCUGUGGUUUCCAUGAAAUUAACGAAAUCCCUGGCUUUAUUUUAUAAUUUUUUUCGAUAGAGCAGAUUUUUUCUUGAUAUGGGGAAAAAAAAAAGGGGACAAAGACAAGUCAUCAUGGCCCUAAUAUUGUGGGCUGAUAUGUGUUUAGGGAAAACACUAAAUUGGCUAAAACUAUCAAAUUCCGGGGACUUCCUAAAGAUUUUGAUACUAAGCUAUAAUUGAAAAAUUAUAAGUGGCUGAACUAAUUCUUCAGAUAGAGUAACAAGUCAAAAUAUGAACGAAAGAGAAAUGGAAUAUCGCGGAUCUAAAUCAGCAAUAUGUAAUGCUGUAAAAGAGCAACGAGUAGACGGUAGUUGACUUUUAUAUAAUAUAGCUGAACCUAAAAGAAGUUUAAGGUGUACUCUAAUGGGUUCCGAAAGGAACUAUCAAAUCAAAAACCCAACUAACCAAUUAUUAAAUAGAACUUAUUGUACUCAAUCUAAUAAUCAAGCAUUGAAUCCUUGAUUUAUAACAGGAUUUUCUGAUGCAGAGUCUUCUUUUAUUAUUUCUAUUUAUAAAGAUGAAAAUAAUAAGUUAAAAUGAAGAGUAUCAGCUUAUUUUUCUAUACAUGUUCACAUAAAAGAUCUGCCUUUAUUAGAACUAAUUCAAAAAACUUUAGGUGUAGGUAUAGUUAUAAAAAAUAAUAAAAAUACUGUUUUAUUUAGAGUUAGUAAUAUGCAAGAAUUACAAAUAGUUAUAGAUCAUUUUAAAAGAUAUCCUUUAAUUAGUGCUAAAUAUUCUGAUUUUUUAUUAUUUGAACAAUGCUAUAAUUUAAUAAAACAAAAAGAACAUUUAACACAAAAAGAUUUUAGCUUUAAAAUCUAAUUUAAAUAAAGGUUUAUCUAAUGAAUUAAAAGAUGCUUUUGCUGCUAAUAUUGUACCUGUAAGUAGACUUGAAUAUAAAUUUACCGGUAUACCAAGUCCUUUUUGAAUCUCUGGAUUUGCUACUGGUGACUCGUCAUUUAGUGUUUCUAUAGAGAAAAGUACAAGUAAAGUAGGCAAAAGAGUAAGAUUAAUUUAUGGUACUUGUUUACAUAUUAGAGAUAAAGACCUAUUAAGAGGUAUGGCAAAGUAUUUUAAUUCCUUGCCUUCAGGGUGUAUAGAUGUAGUUAAUAAAGAAAUUUCAAUACAUUGUAAUGAAAUAAAUAAUACUUCUUUACUACAAAUUAAAAAUAAUUCAGAUAUUGAAAAUAAAAUUAUACCUUUUUUUAAUGAGUAUCCUAUACUUGGAGUAAAAAAAUUAGAUUAUGAAGAUUAGCUUCGCACAAAAAAGUAGCUGAAUUAGUUAAAAAUAAAGAACGAGGCUCCGCCUACUAAAUGUUGAAGGUUUAAAUAAAAUAAUAAAAAUAGCAGAAGGAAUGAAUUUAAGUAGAAAAUGAUAAGUACUAUUAAAAAUAAAACUUAUAGUUUGUUUUAUAUAAUUGUAUGUAAAAUUUGAUUAUCCAUGAUAGACGUGCCACAUAUGCCUACACAAAGAGAUGCAAAAAUGUGAAUUGAAGCUAAUCUCAAAAAAUAGGAUAUAAGAAGGAUUGUAGUCUGAAAUUCGACUACAUGAAUAAGUAAUUACUAGUAAUCGUGAAUCACCAUGUCACGGUGAAUUAACCUUGGAUUGGUACUAACCACUCGUCACAUGCUGAAAGGAGCAUGCGCAAUAAGUUUGCUUUCUUAGUAAUUAGUAAAUAAAACAUGUAGGUUUUGUGUCUAUUAUUAGGAAUCUUCGUAUGCGUGGCUCUAAUUAGUGUUACCCCCCUCC